GACGAACGCUGGCGGCGUGCUUAACACAUGCAAGUCGAACGGAAAGGCCCUGCUUUUGUGGGGUGCUCGAGUGGCGAACGGGUGAGUAACACGUGAGUAACCUGCCCUUGACUUUGGGAUAACUUCAGGAAACUGGGGCUAAUACCGGAUAGGAGCUCCUGCUGCAUGGUGGGGGUUGGAAAGUUUCGGCGGUUGGGGAUGGACUCGCGGCUUAUCAGCUUGUUGGUGGGGUAGUGGCUUACCAAGGCUUUGACGGGUAGCCGGCCUGAGAGGGUGACCGGCCACAUUGGGACUGAGAUACGGCCCAGACUCCUACGGGAGGAAGCAGUGGGGAAUAUUGCACAAGGGGCGGAAGCCGGAUGCAGCAACGCCGCGUGCGGGAUGACGGCCUUCGGGUUGUAAACCGCUUUCGCCUGUGACGAAGCGUGAGUGACGGUAAUGGGUAAAGAAGCACCGGCUAACUACGU
rnacentral:rRNA from 1 species